UUAUCCACAAAAAAAUACAGAUAAGAAAAUUGAUGAUGUCUCUACAGCAAUCUCCAGCCUGCUCCUGGAAUCUUUCCCCAUCUUCAAACAAAUUAAACCUCGAAUCUCGCAGCUUCGUUUCUUUGAAUACCCACCUACAAAAUCCUGGAAUUUCGAUGAAUAAAUCAUCCGGUUGGAGAAAAUCAAGCAGCGUGGCAGCUAUGAACAGCAGUGUAUAUGCUCCUCCGGCAGAAGAAGAAACGGGGAGUUUUUAUGAGCUGCUGGGCAUUUCAGAGAGUGGGACCCUGUCCGAAAUCAAGAAAGCUUAUAAGCAGCUGGCUCGAAAAUAUCACCCUGACGUGUCUCCCGCUGAGCGUGCGGAGGAGUACACUCAGAGAUUCAUUCUGGUGCAAGAAGCUUACGAGACCUUAUCUGAUCCACAAACCAGAGCCUUGUAUGAUAGAGAUUUGUCUAGAGGCUUUCACUUUGCUUUUUCAGCUAGAAACAGAGGAGGAGCUGCUGCUGAGGAGGAGAUGGGUGAAUGGAAGAACAGAUGGGAGUCUCAACUCACAGAGCUGAAGCGUAAGAGCAUGUACAACCAUUACAAUUAUAGUAAUAGUAAUGCUCAUGAUGAUGCAAGACAGUCGUGGGGAGCCCGGAUGCGCAGUCAAAACAGGGAAUCACAGUAAAACGUACUACUACUCUGUAAAUCAGAUUUCAACAGGGGAUCGAUCUUCCCCGUUUUAGCAGACCCCUUUUUACCUUUCCAUGUAAAUAUUGUAUUUUUAAUUAAUGAUGCAUAUUAAUAAUUAUCAAUCAUCAAUAUACAUAUAUAAAGGAGAAGCGAGCGACGUGUAGAUGGCGCCUCUCACAUCGUUCUAUUUUUCUAAGGAUGACCUCUAUAUCCUCACGAAUUUGAAUAUAGAAAAAUCAAUUCAGCUGUAGUUUUUGAUACAUAAAUUUUUGAAAAAUAUAAUACUUAUUAUUAUUAUUAUAAUAAUAAUUAUUAUUAUUAAUGCUAUUAGGUUGCAAAUAUAACAUUUUCAUAUCUACUUAUUUUGUCAAAAAAAUAAAAAAUUCGUCAAUAUUAUAUAAUCUUCAUAUUUGCUAUUAGGUUGCUCGAAACAAUACGACGAUACGUCAAUAUUAUUUAAAACACGACAUAAACUAGAGACCCGUGCCUCGCACGGGCUUUUAUGCUAGUAAUAUCUUAAAGCAUACCGUGGAAUUCGCGAACAUUGUACCGUAAGUCGCGGGAACAAGGGAUGUAGAGUUGACGUGUAUUCGGAUUAGGAUGUAAAGAAAAUAUGAAACGUCUAGAAACUAAAAAACAACAUAUAUUUUUGAAAGCAUAAAGUAAACUUCAAGGAAACGCAGCACAACUUACGCUUGUCACUAUAUAUAUGCAUAUCCAACCCCAACAUUUCACAGUUCACAUACAAGUCACGAGUCAUAUCUUAUUAUCCACAAAAAAAUACAGAUAAGAAAAUUGAUGAUGUCUCUACAGCAAUCUCCAGCCUGCUCCUGGAAUCUUUCCCCAUCUUCAAACAAAUUAAACCUCGAAUCUCGCAGCUUCGUUUCUUUGAAUACCCACCUACAAAAUCCUGGAAUUUCGAUGAAUAAAUCAUCCGGUUGGAGAAAAUCAAGCAGCGUGGCAGCUAUGAACAGCAGUGUAUAUGCUCCUCCGGCAGAAGAAGAAACGGGGAGUUUUUAUGAGCUGCUGGGCAUUUCAGAGAGUGGGACCCUGUCCGAAAUCAAGAAAGCUUAUAAGCAGCUGGCUCGAAAAUAUCACCCUGACGUGUCUCCCGCUGAGCGUGCGGAGGAGUACACUCAGAGAUUCAUUCUGGUGCAAGAAGCUUACGAGACCUUAUCUGAUCCACAAACCAGAGCCUUGUAUGAUAGAGAUUUGUCUAGAGGCUUUCACUUUGCUUUUUCAGCUAGAAACAGAGGAGGAGCUGCUGCUGAGGAGGAGAUGGGUGAAUGGAAGAACAGAUGGG
rnacentral:lncRNA from 1 species